AUUGAACGCUGGCGGUAGGCCUAACACAUGCAAGUCGAACGAGUGGCGGACGGGUGCGUAAUGUAUGGGAAACUGCCUGAUGGAGGGGGAUAAAUACUGGAAACGGUCGCUACUACCGCAUACCAUCAGAUGUGUCCAGAUGGGAUUAGCUAGUAGGUGUGGUAAUGGAUCACCUAGGCGACGAUCCCUAGCUGGUCGGAGAGGAUGACCAGCCACACUGGAACUGAGACACGGUCCAGACUCCUAGGGGAGGCAGCAGUGGGGAAUAUUGCACAAUGGGCGCAAGCCUGAUGCAGCCAUGCCGCGUGUAUGAAGAAGGCCUUCGGGUUGUAAAGCACUUUCAGCGGGGAGGCGUUACCCGCAGAAGAAGCACCGGCUAACUCCGUGCCAGCAGCCGCGGUAAUUC
rnacentral:rRNA from 1 species